GACGAACGCUGGCGGCGUGCUUAACACAUGCAAGUCGAACGGAAAGGCCCUGCUUUUGUGGGGUGCUCGAGCGGCGAACGGGUGAGUAACACGUGAGUAACCUGCCCGUGACUUUGGGAUAACUUCCGGAAACUGGGGCUAAUACCUGAUAGGAACUCCUGCUGCAUGGUGGGGGUUGGAAUGUUUCGGCGGUUGGGGAUGGACUGGCGGCUUAUCAGCUUGUUGGUGGGGUAGUGGCUUACCAAGGCUCUGACGGGUAGCCGGCAUGUGAGGGUGGCCGGCGACAUUGGGACUGAGGGAGGGCCCAGAAGCCUACGGGCGGCAGCAGUGGGGAGUAUUGCGCAGUGGGCGGAAGCCUGAUGCGGCGGCUCCGCGUGCGGGAUGACGGCCUUCGGGUUGUAAACCGCUUUCGCCUGUGACGAAGCGUGAGUGACGGUAAUGGGUAAAGAAGCACCGGCUAACUACGUG
rnacentral:rRNA from 1 species